UUGAACGCUGGCGGAAUGCUUUACACAUGCAAGUCGAGCGGCAGCGCGGGGGCAACCCUGGCGGCGAGCGGCGAACGGGUGAGUAACAUAUCGGAACGUACCCUAUCGUGGGGGAUAACACAUCGAAAGAUGUGCUAAUACCGCAUACGACCUGAGGGUGAAAGCAGGGGAUCGCAAGACCUUGCGCGACAGGAGCGGCCGAUAUCGGAUUAGCUAGUUGGUGAGGUAAAGGCUCACCAAGGCGACGAUCCGUAGCUGGUCUGAGAGGACGACCAGCCACACUGGAACUGAGACACGGUCCAGACUCCUACGGGAGGCAGCAGUGGGGAAUUUUGGACAAUGGGCGCAAGCCUGAUCCAGCAAUGCCGCGUGCAGGAAGAAGGCCUUCGGGUUGUAAACUGCUUUUGUACGGAACGAAAAGGUCUGGGUUAAUACCCUGGGCUCAUGACGGUACCGUAAGAAUAAGCACCGGCUAACUACGU
rnacentral:rRNA from 1 species